CAUAGCAAGUCAAAACGAAAUAAAUAUCACGUUAUAAUUUUCUAAGUAGUGAAUAAAAUAGAUACCAACUAGCUUCAACUCGACAUUUUAUAGUUACUUAUUUUACAAUAAAGUGUUUUAUGUUCAUCAGAUUUUUUAGUACAAACAUCGUAACAGAUUUCAGAUUAGUUAGUUACAUAGGGACAGCAAAAUAAAUGUUCAUGUCUCACAAACAUAAAUCACUCACUGGAGUAGAUUUACAAGAAAAAAUUAACCAAUUGCAUCAAGCAUAUAUGCCGAUGGAUUUGAGCUCUGUAUUUUAUCACAGCAAAGUAAAUGCUAUUAAGAAAUUAGAGUAUAUAUUACGUUACUCCAGUCGGACUGCGUUACAAGACGCGGAUUAUGAGGAACUAAUCUUGUGUGCCCUGACAUUGGUAUAUUUUUUUGGUAUGAGACUAAAAUUGCGUCAACUUACUUCACAUUAUGGUUACUGGUGCGGCAAACGUCAUUUCAAUAAAGCGGAGUCAGUUUUCCAGAUGACAAUGGACCAACUGCACCCAGAACGCAGCGAUGUUACUAUAAAAAUAACGUUGAAUUUCUUCACAACAGUUUCUUUGUGGCCCUUCGAAAGUUUUGUAGAGCAAAUAUUAGAAGUAGUACUCUACUAUAACAGAGGGAAAACUACGCUUUUUAACCUAAUGCUAACAGAUAUUCAUUGUGUUUUGUUUAAAGAUGUCAAGUCAGCCAGGCAUCGAAUGAGAGUUCUCUAUGAACUACUUAAAAGUACAAAUUGGAUAAUCGACAAACAGAAACUGCUGCCAUUUGUUACACGUUUACUCGACUUCUUUGCUUAUAGCAUAGCUAAAGGCGAUUCUAAGAUAUCAGCUUACGGUUAUCUACGAAAGGGUUUCGAAGUCUGCUUACGACGGAUUUUCGAAAGAGUGGAAAACCAACAUCGUCUAAUGAUCAUAACAACAAUGCUCAAUUGGUUUUCAAUGGUGAAUAUGAGUGAUGAUGAUGUUCUAGAAUUUUCCUCUUUACUAGAUCGAGCUGCCGAGCUGUAUAAAGUUGGGCAAUACACUGAGAGCUUUCGCGAAGGAGUUUUUGAACACGUUUUAGUAAAUUUGGUUGGAUCUACGAAUGCGCUGUACAGCAUUGUGGGAUGUCGUUUACUGCACAGAUUUUUAGACCGACAGAACAAUGCUGAGUACUUGACAGUGCCGUCUUUAUAUUAUGAGUUUUCACAGGUUCGACUUAAAGUAGGAUGUUAUGAUAGCUACGAUAAAACAUUUAUACGAAAUCAUCGAGACAAAUUCCACGAAUUCUUUUUAAAGGCGGUGAAGCUACAUUGUAACAAUAGCGAUUUACAACAUCGGCCGCCAUCAUGUAACGUGGAAUAAACCGACAUUAUUCUUCGAAGAUUGGGAGUUGCGAUACGGUCUUUGGAAACAUUUCAAAGAUGCACAGUUCCCCACGAAGAAACUUCAAAGCAAAUUAGGUAAAAAGGCGCCGUCUAUGGAUUUGCGAUAUUAAAUUAAUUAAAGUUGCAAGUAAAUUA
rnacentral:misc_RNA from 1 species